rfam:Bacteroidetes bacterium 38_7 MPI_scaffold_2321, whole genome shotgun sequence.
UUGCCGGCAACGGCAGGGUUUGAAGGAAGGCUUAGUAAGUACUGUGAACAUAGCGAAAGCGAACCGAUUUUGGCGGUCAGCCGGGGUAAGGUUGCAAAAAGUGCCGAAGCCCAAAAUCCGGAUACGGCUGAACGUUAUAACGGAUGCGUUACGGUACAGGAUAGUU